rnacentral:antisense_RNA from 1 species
UGCCUGGAGUGAAGAUUCUGCCCAUUGGUCAAGAGACCUCCCUCUCAGAUGCUGGCUCUGCCCCUGCCUUUGGGGGUCGACCCUUGUACUCGCAGGACCUUAGGUGACUCUGACUUUGUCAAAGGAAAAAUUUCUGCAUGUGCACACACAGAUCUUGGAAGUUUAUUCAUCUCAGCAGAGGCAGACAGGAGCAUCAACAGCCUUGGGGACAGCAGCAGUGGUGAUUCUACUUCUCUGAUCAUCCAGGAAACCAAUCUGCCUGAGGACGAGUCAUACUCUGUCCUCCCACCCCAGGCUAGAGAGUGGUAUCUGUCUUUCCACAAGUUGGAUCUGAAUGAUGCAGUGUUGCAAUCCCAUUUUAUAAAUGAGGCAACCAAAACUCAAACAGGACCAUAUUGUGACUGAAACAAGGCAUAACAGGUCUUUGACUAGCUAUCCUGUGGGUGUGGCCUCAGGGUAGCCUGCAGAAAGUGGUGAGCAAGGUGGUUGGGAAAAUCAAAGGAGGGGGUAAGGUAGUGGCAGGUAACUAUCGAUAAUCUGCUCUUCUUCACAGAAAGACAGGCAAUUAGAUUGAAAAAUACCUGUGAUUCAAAGAAGUCACAAGUCACAGAGACAAACUUUUCCCAGUGUGUUCGAGUCAGAGAACCUUUGCAAAGACCAACAGGCUAAAAGAGAAAAUACAGUGUCAUAUGGAGAAGCUUUGAGAACACUAUGCUAAGUGAAAGAAGCCAGA